CUAACAAGGAUUCCCCUAGUAACGGCGAGUGAAGCGGGAAGAGCUCAAAUUUGAAAUCUCCGAUGCUUGCAUCGGCGAGUUGUAGUUGCGAGAAGCACUUUCUAGGCGGAUCGGCACUGCCCAAGUUGCUUGGAACAGCACGUCACAGAGGGUGACAACCCCGUCUGUGGCAGUGGCGGCCGCUGACGAUGUGCUUUCGAAGAGUCGGGUUGUUUGGGAAUGCAGCCCAAAAUGGGUGGUAAACUCCAUCUAAAGCUAAAUACUGGCGUGAGACCGAUAGCGAAGGAAACGAAUGGACUCAGCAAUGUGCCGUUUGAGAUUCAGCCGCGCGGGCGGGUGCGGCUCGGGGUUUGCGGAUCUGAAUGGACCGCGGUCUCGGGCUCGUCUCCCCCCGCCGGCGCACUUCUCUUGGGCACGCGUCAACGUCGGUUGGAACUGGGCCUGAAAGGUGCCGGGAAGGUAGGUUCGCACCCUCGGGUGCGGCCUGUUACAGCCCGGCUCUUGCGGCUCGGGUCCGACCGUGGCGGUUUGCAGUGCAUGCCUCUUGUGGCUAGGGUCCCGCCCUUCCGGCCGGUCGUCGAAUGCGGUGGACUGCUUGCAGUGCUCCGCGACCGCUGCCGGUCGUUGGGGUGGUAUCU
rnacentral:rRNA from 1 species